GAAGAGCGGCGGACGGGUGAGUAACGCGUGGGUAACCUGCCCUGCACACACGGAUAACAUACCGAAAGGUAUGCUAAUACGAGAUAAUAUGCUUUUAUCGCAUGGUAGAAGUAUCAAAGCUUUUGCGGUACAGGAUGGACCCGCGUCUGAUUAGCUAGUUGGUAAGGUAACGGCUUACCAAGGCGACGAUCAGUAGCCGACCUGAGAGGGUGAUCGGCCACAUUGGAACUGAGACACGGUCCAAACUCCUACGGGAGGCAGCAGUGGGGAACAUUGCACAAUGGGCGAAAGCCUGAUGCAGCAACGCCGCGUGAGCGAUGAAGGCCUUCGGGUCGUAAAGCUCUGUCCUCAAGGAAGAUAAUGACGGUACUUGAGGAGGAAGCCCCGGCUAACUACGUGCCAGCAGCCGCGGUAAUACGUAGGGGGCUAGCGUUAUCCGGAAUUACUGGGCGUAAAGGGUGCGUAGGUGGUUUCUUAAGUCAGAGGUGAAAGGCUACGGCUCAACCGUAGUAAGCCUUUGAAACUGGGAAACUUGAGUGCAGGAGAGGAGAGUGGAAUUCCUAGUGUAGCGGUGAAAUGCGUAGAUAUUAGGAGGAACACCAGU
rnacentral:rRNA from 1 species